GCGUUGGUAGUGCAACGGUUAGCCUCCGCUCCCGGAAAGAGUGAGAUCUGGGUUCCAAUCCCGGCUGACGCG